rnacentral:lncRNA from 12 species
UAAGAAAAUAUGGGCAAACACAGCUGCCAUGGGAAAAAUUAAGUGUAAAAUAAAGUAUUUAAAGAAAUUAAUGGGAAAAGAUGAAUUCACAAGAAGUCUG